GGGUUGUGAGGUUAAGCGACUAAGCGUACACGGUGGAUGCCCUGGCAGUCAGAGGCGAUGAAGGGCGUGCUAAUCUGCGAUAAGCGCCGGUAAGGUGAUAUGAACCGUUAUAACCGGCGAUACCCGAAUGGGGAAACCCAGUGUGAUUCGUCACACUAUCAUUAACUGAAUCCAUAGGUUAAUGAGGCGAACCGGGGGAACUGAAACAUCUAAGUACCCCGAGGAAAAGAAAUCAACCGAGAUUCCCCCAGUAGCGGCGAGCGAACGGGGAGGAGCCCAGAGCCUGAAUCAGCAUGUGUGUUAGUGGAAGCGUCUGGAAAGGCGCGCGAUACAGGGUGACAGCCCCGUACACAAAAGCGCAUGUGCUGUGAGCUCGAUGAGUAGGGCGGGACACGUGGUAUCCUGUCUGAAUAUGGGGGGACCAUCCUCCAAGGCUAAAUACUCCUGACUGACCGAUAGUGAACCAGUACCGUGAGGGAAAGGCGAAAAGAACCCCGGCGAGGGGAGUGAAAAAGAACCUGAAACCGUGUACGUACAAGCAGUGGGAGCACCCUUCGGGGUGUGACUGCGUACCUUUUGUAUAAUGGGUCAGCGACUUAUAUUCUGUAGCAAGGUUAACCGAAUAGGGGAGCCGGAGGGAAACCGAGUCUUAAUUGGGCGUUAAGUUGCAGGGUAUAGACCCGAAA
rnacentral:rRNA from 1 species